GUCUCAAAAACAAACAAACAAACAAAAACAACAACAAAAAAAACUUGCUCCAAACCUCAGAAUGUUCUAGACAUUUUAAAGCAAAUGCCCACAUCUCCUUUUAUUCCUCUUUUUAUGUUAAUGAUAACAUACUGUUCUGGGCUUUCUUUUUUCCCAAACUAUAUCUUGGGGAUCACUCCAUGUCAGAACACAGCUUGCUCAUUUCUUUUAAAACCCGUGUAGUAUUUCUCUUCUGUUGGAAUACAAUUUAUUUAAUCGGUUUGUCUGGAUGGUCGCGUGUCUUGUUUCCAGUGUUUUGCGGCCAGAAAGCGCCGCGUCACGGAUGAUGGAUAACUGCAUUGACGUCAUUUCGCGUAAAAGUUGAUUGUAUCAGAAGGAGAGGUUCCUGGAAGUGCCAUAGCUGGGCCAGGUGUUUGCGGCUGGAAUAUGUCCUGUAUAGGGUUGUACCAAUUUCCCUCCCCACUUUCAAGGCAAAACAGUACUAGUUUCCCCAGAGUCUCACCAACGGUGAGUAUUAUCAAAUCUUUUGAUCGCCAAUCUGAUGGGUUAAAAACGACAUCGCAGUAUAGGUGUAGUGUUCAUUUCCCUUAUGAAAUUGAGCAUCUUCUCCUGUGUCUAAGAACCGUUUGUCCGUCUUUCUUAAUGAGCUGUGUGUUCAUAUCCUUUGCUAACUUUUUCACGGACCCUUGAGGUAUUUUUCCUAUUGAUUCUUUCUGAGAGCUCUUUAUAUAUG
rnacentral:lncRNA from 10 species